rnacentral:lncRNA from 1 species
UUGCUGAGCAAUUUGAUUGCUCAUUCUUGCAUCUAUUUUAUUUCUUUUUGAGCAGUAAAUAGUGAGUAUGGCACAACUCAAGAGAACCGCCCGGAAAUGGGUUUUUGGCAAAGGCAGGGAAAAGGCGCAUCACCCAAGCUGAGACUGCUAGACUACGCCGCUUGGUAGUACGAGCUAUAGUUAUUAUAAUGGUCUGAAAUCAGACUUCCCUUUAUGUAAUAAAGUUAGACUCGGUAGUAAUGUUGUAAGACGAUCGACCCUGGACUUGUGGGGCAAGAGUUGGAUUAUGUAAUAUUAAUAUGUAAUGCAAGUGUUGUUUUGAGCCAGAUGUUUAGUGGCGGACCAGAUCUGCGGGAUGUGGAUCUGGGGGCGUCACAGAUUUGGUAUCAGAGCUGUAGUUAUAUCCUUAGGAUUUGAGAAACCCUAGGAAUAUAACGAGCGAGAAUGAUAUGAAGUUUAAGAUAAGGUGCCCUAGUACCUAUCUCCAUAUGUUAGAGAACAUAUGUACCAAAUAAACUUUUAGCAAAGGGUUAGUAGACCCUACAAGUAUAAACAUUUAUAGUUACGAGCAAUCGUAGUAGUAACUAUUAGUAAUGGUGUUUGUUGUAUUAUGUAGAUGUCAGGUUACGACUGAUACUGAUCCAUUGAUGGAGAUUGAGAUGAUAGACAUCGAGUAUGGGAAUUCUUCUAUACAGAUAUUUGAACCACCAACACCUGAGAUCAUUAACUUAGUAUUUGAGGAGAUCGGGGAUAAAGAAUCUUCUGAGUUCAAUAAGAGUGAUGGGAUGGACAUCUUUCCAUCUUUACCUGAGAUGAUUUCUGUUCCUACUUUGACCACUUCCUUUUCGGAUACCACUUCUACUGUUCCUCCACUUGUUUCGGAGAAUGGAGACCCUUCUAUUCUAGACUUGCUUCGACAUUUUAAGCCCACACCUCUUCUUAUAGCCCUACUACCACACAUACUUUUAAUCGUUGUCAUUUUGGGACUGUUGUGUCAUCUUUGAUUGGGGAUGCUCCUGUACCACCUUUGAGUAGCAAUACCUUUGUUUAUAUACUAUUCGAACCUCGAGUUCGAGUUUCACCCACUGUUACCACUUUAUCCGAGACUUUUGUACCACUUACAGCUUUAUCCACUAUUCUAGUGUUCUGCACCUCAGACUACCCCUUUUCAAAUUAGCGAAUCUUCUUUUGUACCAGUUUCUAUACCUCCGAGUGGCAACUUUAUACCACUUUCAAAGUAUAUGUCUUUGGUUCACCAGCAGUUGAGAGAGUCUAGUUAUGAGUCUAGAUUUGGGAUUCCAGAAUCUUAUGAUCCUAUGUCUGUUUCUGCGGGUUCAUAUUUUCUUGCCCGAGAGUUUAGUAUGGAGACUGUUUAUCAGAUUUCUGUUUCUGUAUUUGAGGGACUCUGUAUAUGUUACACUUGAGCUUUCUGAAUUCCAGCAUAGGGUCUCAGAGAUAUUUGGUGAUAGAUUUGUUGUUUUAUGUAUAGCUUGACUUUUGAGGGAUAACACACGUAGUCUGUGUGUAUCGCAGUUAUAGUAUAUGAUGUAUCUGGAGAAUAUGUAGACAUUGUAUAGUAUCAUAAUAGGGAAUCGUGCAUAUCCUUUGGUGAAGAUGCAGAUGCUAUAGUUUCGAUCAAUAGAUCAUUCUGGCAGUAGAAAUGUAUGUAGGUAAUCUUUUGUAUAGUGAUGACCAGAUUAGACUUGAUGUAGUAGGAUGAUAACCAGGUCAGAUGUACUUUCUAUAUCAUGACUUCUACCCCGAAAGCUUCGGAUAUUAUGACCAUUAUGGGAGGGAUGAUCAAUCUUUAUUUGUUUAUACCUUUCCUAUAUUUGUUGCACUUGUCAACCACCUUUGACCUGUUUCAUUUCCGUCAACUAUCUUGCAUUUGCUACAUCAAUAAUCCAAUGUGAAGUCCUUUAAAAAAAAUGUGUAUGUGUUCAAAUUUUAAAGUUUUUAGAGGUUUCCAAAAAGAAAAACGUUCAGGUUUCUAAAGUUUUAAAGUUUUUCAAAAGAGAGGGUGCAACCUUUAAUGUUUCUAAAGUUUUCAAAGAAAUGCAAUUUUGAUACAACUUGUGUUUUCAACCAAGAUGUGGAACCUGUUUUAAAAAGUUUUAUACAACCAAGAUGUGGAACCUGUUUUAAAAAGUUUUAUACUGUGUAUGUUACAAAAUUGCACCUUGUUGUACCUUUGGAUAAACCUUGCAUUCUGUAUAAUGAUGAGAACUAUUAAACGGUUUUGUCUACUCUUAUAGAUUGAGAUGGAUUUAAACCUGAAUGAAAACCUUGUUGAUGAAUCAAUACCAGAUGCUUCACUUGAAUUUCAACCCAGGCCCAAUCUUGUUCAAUUACUUGUUGAUCUUCUUCAACAACAUACCCAGAAUUUUCGAAACGAUACUGAAAGAAGUUCUUCAAGUCAUCUUACUAAACCGAUUAUUUAUUUCAAAUCUUUCAAGUCUUUGCAACCUCCAGAGUUUAAAAGGGACUGUAGUUCCCGUUGAGGCCAAGAUAUGGCUAAAAAAAAAUAAUAAUAAUAAUAGAGAAGACUUUUGAAAUAGUUGGUACAUAAGAGGAUAAGAAAAAUAUUUUUAAUGCUUAUAUGCUUAAUGGAGAGGCUAAUUAUUGGUGGAUAGCUAAGCUAGUUCUAGAAGAGUCUAGUGUGAUAUCAUGGACUAGGUUUACAAAGUUAUUGCUAGAGAAGUAUGUUCCUAAACACCUAGAGAAUCAUAUAGAGCUCAAAUUUCUAGAACCUGAGCAAGAGAGUAUGUUAGUAGCUGAAUAUGAAGCUAAGUUUAUCGAACUUUCGAAAUUUAUUCCACAUCGAGUAAAUACGGACGAAAAGAAAGCUAAAUGUUUACAGCCGGGCUUAAAGCCCUGGAUUCAGAGUAGGGUAACUAUUCUCGAGAUUGCUAGCUAUGCGACGUAAGUGUACAAAACUUGUAUAGUUGAGGCAAGCAAUGAGUUGUUUAACAUAGAGAUUGUCGAUAAGAAACGGAAACCCCUGCAAAACAAUCAAAAUAUUAAAAAAGAAACGUUGGACUCAUGGUGUGAAGGAACCUUUUGUAAAAUAAGAAAUGCCGCGAGCAGAGAAUAUAGGUGAAAUAGAAGGAAAUAAAAUGUUUAGAACUUCGCAAACCGCGAACGCGUUACAAGGGAGAUCCCCGUUGCCUGAGUAGAAGAUCUGUAGAAUACGCUAUUUAUGAAUAAUAUUACGUUUCACACUACUUCAGCUCAAGUUGACAUCAAACCUCAUUUUGAAAACUGAGAAGUUUGUUCUGUAUCUUGAGUCCUUCCUUUGUUCGGAAGCGACUACCCCUAAUAAUCAAUAUUUCUUUGAUGUCACAAAAUCUUUUGUGAUUCAUGAUUCGAGAAUUGGAAUAAAUAUACACCACAAUGAUGAUCUCAAUCUAAUAAUUCUAAGGGAUCGUCUCAUAUUUGAUUCUAUUUCUGAUUUUAUCCACUGAAAAUCCUUGAAUUGUGAUUAAAGGAUGCAUUGCUCGCAUUCCUUGGAAGAAGUGUGUUGAGAAAUAAUUAUGGUCCAAAAUUGCGACUCCUUUGACCAAGUUGACUACGAAAGAAGAGAAGUUUGAAUGGACCCCUAAAUGCGAAGAGAGUUUCAAGAAUUAAAGGAGCUACUAACAACGGCUCUUGUGCUGAUCCUAUCUGACGAAACAUGAAAUUUUGUGAUCUAUAGUGAUAAAGGACUAGGAUGUGUCAUUAUGCAACACGGAAAAGUGAUAGCGUAUGUUUCUAGACAACUUAAGGACUAUAAAUUAAUAUACCAUACCCAUGACCUAGAGUUAGCUGCUAUAGUGUUUGCUUUAAAGAUUUGGCGUCAUUAUUUGUAUGGUGAGAAGUGUGAGAUAUUUACUGAUCAUAAAAGUUUAAAAUAUCUGUUUACUCAGAAAGAGUUGAACAUGAGACAGAGAAGAUGGUUAGAAUUGAUAAAGGAUUAUGACUGUACAAUCAACUACCACCCAGGGAAAGCGANGAAGGUGUUUCAAGAAGGUCUUGUAUGGAGAGAUAAAAUUCAGACCCUCGAAUUUGAGGAUUUUUACAUCGAUUAUCGAGAGUUAAAUAAGUCGACCCUUUAUCUAGGGUUGAUGAUUUGUUUAAUUAGUUGAAGAGAGCAUCUUACUUUUUAAAAUAGACUUGAGAUCUGAAUGCCAUCAGUUAAGGAAUCAGGUUUGAGAAUGUACCUAAGACAUCCUUUAAAACCCAAUAUGGACAUUAUGAGUUAUUGGUGAUGUCUUUUAUAUUGACUAAUGCACCUACAAUGUUUAUGGAUCUUAUGAAUAGAGUUUUUAAGAAAUAUUUGGAUAAGUUCAUUAUUAUUUUAUCAAUGAUAUUUUGAUUUAUUCUGAGACGAAAGAAGAACAUGUUGAGUAUCUUAGAAUAACUUUGGAAAUUUAGAAGGAAAAAAAAAUGUUAUAGGCAAAUUGAAAGGUGAAUUUUUGAUUGAGCAAGUACAAUUUUUAGGGCGUAUAGUUUCUAAAGAAGGUAUAUCAGUAAACCCCGCAAAGAUUGAUGGAGUAUCAAAUUGGGAAAGACUAAGGUUCCCAACAGAAGUAAGAAUUUUCUUGGAUUAGUAGGGAUAUUAUAGAAGAUUCGUAAAAGAUUUCUCCAAAAUUGCGACUCCUUUGACCAAGUUGACUACAAAAGAAGAGAAGUUUGAAUGGACCCCUAAAUGCGAAGAGAGUUUCAAGAAUUAAAGGAGCUACUAACAACGGCUCUUGUGCUGAUCCUAUCUGACGAAACAUGAAAUUUUGUGAUCUAUAGUGAUAAAGGACUAGGAUGUGUCAUUAUGCAACACGGAAAAGUGAUAGCGUAUGUUUCUAGACAACUUAAGGACUAGAAAUUAAUAUACCAUACCCAUGAUCUAGAGUUAGCUGCUAUAGUGUUUGCUAUAAAGAUUUGGCGACAUUAUUUGUAUGGUGAGACAUUGUUUGUAUGGUGUUAAGUGUGAGAUAUUAAGGAUUCGGAGCAUAAGGAGGGAAGGAUUUAUGAGAUGUUAGUACAACCGGAACUAAUAGAAAGAAUCAAAAAGAGUCAGGAAUUAAUGAUUGAAGAAAGACGAUCUGAAUUGACUGGUGAUGAGUACUUGAGUGUUAAAGAUGAAAAAGGAGUUAGGAGAUUUGCCAACAGAAUUUGGAUUCCUAACCUGAUAGAUCUUAAGAGGGAUAUUCUGAGUGAAGCUCAUGAGUCAAAAUAUUCUAUACACCCAGGAAGCACCAAAAUGUAUCAAGAUUUAAAGAGAAAUUAUUGGUGGCCUAAUAUGAAAAGAGAGAUUGCCGACUGGGUGAGUAAAUGUCUAACAUGUCAAAAAGUAAAAGCUGAACAUCAACGACCUGGUGGAUUAUUGCAACCACUAGAGAUCCCAGAAUGGAAAUGGGAACAUAUUACCAUGGAUUUCAUAGUAGGAUUUCCUAGGACUCGAGCAAAUCAUGAUGCUAUUUGGGUAAUUGUUGAUAGAUUGACAAAAUCGGCGCAUUUUCUUCCUAUUAGUGAGAAAUAUACCCUCGAAAGAUUAGUGAAAAUGUACAUGAAUGAAGUUGUGUCUAAACAUGGAGUGCCAAUAUCAAUUGUUUCGGAUAGAGAUGCUAGAUUUACAUCAAGAUUUUGGCAAGCAUUUCAGGAAUGCUUUGGAACUAGGCUUAACCUAAGUACUGCAUACCACCCUCAAACAGAUGGACAAAGUGAAAGGACAAUCCAGACUAUAGAGGAUAUGUUAAGAGCUUGUUCUUUGGAUUUCAAAGGAAGUUGGGAUGAUCACUUACCUCUAGUAGAGUUUUCUUAUAACAACAGCUAUCACGCUAGUAUUGGAAUGGCACCUUUUGAGGCAUUGUAUGGUAGAAAAUGUAGAUCACCACUUUGCUGGGAUGAAGUUGGAGAGAAAAAGAUUUUAGGACCAGAACUAGUUCAACAUACCAAACAAUCAAUUGAGAAAAUAAGAAAAAGACUAGUUGCAGCUCAAGAUAGGCAAAAGAAAUAUGCGGACUUAAAAAGGAAUGAGAAAGUCUUUGAUGUAGGAGAAAAAGUACUUCUAAAAGUAUCGCCUUGGAAAGGAGUAAUUAGAUUUGGUAAAAGAAGUAAGUUAAACCCGAGAUAUAUAGGACCAUUUGAGAUUUUGAGAAAAGUAGGAAGUGUUUCUUAUCAAUUGGCCUUACCCCCAGAUUUACAACAUAUCCAUGAUGUUUUCCAUGUAUCCAUGUUAAAAAUUUACAAGACCGACAACCGUCAUGUUCUAAACUACGAGCCAGUAAAUAUUCAAUCUGAUCUAACAUACGAAGAGCAACCAGUGGAGAUAGUAGAUUCAAAAAUUCAAGAAUUGAGGACUAAGAGAGUCAAGUUAGUUAAAGUAAUAUGGCGAAAUCAAGCUGUCGAAGAAGCUACGUGGGAAUUAGAGGAAGAAAUGAGGAAGAAUUACCCAGAGUUGUUCGGCACUAAUCGAGAUUCCGAGGACGGAAUCCCUUAAGGAGGGAAGAAUGUAACAACCGUGAAAUUUACAAGUACGCCAAAAUGCGGCUAUUUAAUUUAAUUAUUUAUUGUGUAAAAAGACUAUUAUUAUAGUCUCGAAUUUAAUAAAAAUAUAUGAUAUAAAAAGUAUCAAUUAAAAUAUUAUAGUUGCGAGAAUUCUAAAAAAUGUAUUAUAUCAACUAGUGUGGACCAGUAUUUUAAUAUAUGUGUUAAAUCGAGAGUUGCGUUUAAACGAAGAAUCUAGUUGACGCGGUUAUCUAACUGCGGGCCGUGAAUAGAUAAAUAUAACGUCUUAGCCAAGUUGAUUAUUUUAUUAUAGACUCAAAAUUUGGUAAUAAAAUAUUAAAAUGAUAAUUAAUAUAUUUAUUUAUGUUAUUAUUUUAUUCAAUAAUUAAUUAUUUAAUAUUAUUUUUGAAAUUAUCCGAGAAUAACCGAGCCAAGCGGGAUUAUUUUUACGAGUCGGAACUUGGGGCCCAAGUCAUAAUACUUGGAGCCCAAGCAUACAACUUGGAUCCCAAGUUUACGUGGUGGCCAAGUAGAAUUAAUUAAUUAAUUAGGCAUACAUUAGGAGAGUCAUUAGCUUUAAUGAGGAUUAGUAAAUGAGUAUAAAUACCGAACAAAAGCUUUGUUUUCAUUUUCCACAUUACUGCUAAAGAGAAGAGGGGAAGGAAUUUGGUAGAAGAAGAGAGUUAAGCAGAAGAAAUUUAUUGAAGUUUCACUCCGAAAGUUCCUGUAAAGCAAGGUAAGUCACUUGGCUUUUUAAUUAAAUGGAGAAUUAAUUCCAAUAUUUAAUUGAGGACCCACUUGCGUAUAUUAAUUUGAGUGAUCUAAAAUACUUAAAUUUAUUCAAUCAAAUUGGUAAGUGUCUAAUUUAGGAUCAUAGUAUCUAUUUUGGGAUAAUUAAUAGAGUCAUAUACAUCUAAAGGAGCUUGGGGAUUUUGCCUAAACUACUGUAAAAUUUGGUCUUAUGUUUAAGUUGGAGUUUUGAUGAAGUGGUGAUAAAUUGUUAAGAUUGGUUGUGUUGAUUAACGUGCUAAUUGGAGAUGGAGUUCGAGUCGGGGAGAGAGGAAGGAAAGUAGUAGGAGAUGAGGGAAAAAAAAGAGAUGUGAGGGAGGUGAAUAUAGUAGUGACAUAAUGAGAAUUUUACAAGUUGGAGGAAUUUAAUAAAUUCCAAAAAUAUCGUAAUUGGGUAGGUUAAAUAAUAAAAUUAAUAAAAUAUGGGAAUUGAAUUUAUAAAGUAGGAUUUGGG